ensembl:lncRNA LINC01203 long intergenic non-protein coding RNA 1203
CAGGCUUCCCAAAAGUUGUUUGAUAGUAUACAGGCAUGAGAUGGUGUGACUCUAACUCAUUAGAUGCCUUCGUCUUUUCAGUCAUCAUGUGAUGGAAAGAAAGCUAUCAACUUCAUUCCUGAGACUUCCUGCAACACAGCUUAGUAUGUCUAGCAUGGGCAUGCCUGCUGAAGUUUGGAACUUCCCAUCAAGGAAACAGGAAAAUGCCAUUGGCAAUGAGCUGAAGACUGAUUUACUCUACCAGUUUGGAACAUCUGUUAUUGCUGCUACUACGGUUUCUAUCACUGUUUGAUGCUGGGACUCUUAAGCUCCAACCACGUUUUCACCGAGCUGAGUCGCCUUCUUAUCACCCCUUUCUGGAGCAGCAGGACAUCUGGGGAUGAGAAGAUGGAGAGAUCAUCCUUAUAUAAUGUUGCAGUCUGGAAGCAUCACUCUCAAAAAGCCAUUGUAGAGAAUCCAAGCCGAGUUUAAGAGUGCUGUGGAAAUACACUGCUGCUACUGCUGUUUCUAUUACUGUUUGAUGCUGGGACUCUUAUGCUCCAACCACGUUUUCACCCAGCUGAGUCGCCUUCGUAUCACGCCUUUCCAGUUCAACAAAGUGUGGACAGCUGUGCAGAAAUAUGAUUGGACAAAAAUGUUGUGAUCUAAAGCUAAUGGACUGAGUGUGGAAACCCAACAAGGCCUGUCUGUCUAGAUUCUUCUUGGCCUCUCUGAGCAGCGUUCCUUCCUUCUGGGUGUAAGGCAAGACCCUCUCUGGAGUGGGGGUGUUAUGACCUACAGUCAAACAAGAGAAAUAAAGUUCAUCACAGUGAGUCAAGAUGCCUCAUUCCAAGCUAUGGUGUAAAUUUCAUAGACUAAGAAAUGUGCAAGUUUCCUUUUUGCUAAGUAUGACACAUCACCUCUCUCUCACAAAGGGAUAUAUGUUGUUACUAAUGUAAACUCAUUAGUUUUGAUCAAUGUUUUGUGAACUCAAAAGUAUCUGAGACAGCUCUCAAUCAAUUUAGAAAGUUUAUUUUGUGAAGGUUAAGGACAUGCCCGUGACACAGCCUCAGGAGGUCCAGAUUACAUGUGCACAAGGUGGUCAGGGUACAGCUUGCCUUUAUACAUUUUAGGGAGACAUAAUACAUCAGUCAAUACAUGUAAGGUUUACAUUGUUUCGAUCUGGAAGGGUGGGGCAACUCGAAGCAGGAGUCGGGCUUCCAGGUCAUAGGUAGAUUUAAACAUUUUCUGAUUGGCAAUUGGUUGAAAGAGUUAUUAUCAGUAGAAAGAAUUGUUUGGGUUAUGAUAAGUGGUUGUGGAGGCCAAGGUUUUAUCAUGCAGAUGAAGCCUCCAGGUAGCAGGCUUCAGAGAAAUAGACUGUAAAUGUGUUUUUAUUGGACUUAAGGUCUGUGUUGAUAUUAAUGCUGGAGGGGUAUAAUGAGGCUUGUCCAACCCCCUCCUCCAUCAUGGCCUGAACUAGUUUUUCAGGUUAACUCUGGAAUGCCCUUGGCCAAAAGGAGGGGUUCAUUUAGAUGGUUGAGGGGCUUUAGAAUUUUAUUUUUGGUUCACAGGAUCAUGGUUAUAUAAGAUGUUAACAUUAGGAGAUGCUGGGUAAAAGGUAUAUGGGAACCUUCUGUACUGCCUUUGCAACUCUUCUAUAAAUCUAAAAUAAUUUCAAAAUGUUACUAUUAAC